UAGGUGUUAGCUGUUAGGUGUUAGCUGUUAGCUAUUAGGUGUUAGCUGUUAGGUGUUAGCUGUUAGCUAUUAGGUGUUAGCUGUUAGCUAUUAGGUGUUAGCUGUUAGCUAUUAACUAGCUGUUAGCUAUUAGGUGUUAGCUGUUAGGUGUUAGCUCACUGGUUUUAUGUGUUGAUGUAAUUUAGUAUCGUGCUGCAGCAGCUGCUCCUGCUGUGAGGCUGCUGUGACACUUGUACACACAAACACAGAGUAGGGACGCCAUGGUGCAGACAGGAAGUGAAGAUAACUUGAGCUGACGACAGCUGCGCUUGUUACUGUGAGUGCAAUAAAACCUCCACCAGGACAAAAUCAAUACUUUAUCAAACAGCUGAUCAGCAACAUGUAGAAAAUAUUUCAGUCUGCUCUGUCCACAG